AUGAACGCUGGCGGCGUGCCUAAUACCUGCAAGUCGAGCGCACAGAUAAGGAGCUUGCUCCUUUGACGUUAGCGGCGGACGGGUGAGUAACACGUGGGUAACCUACCUAUAAGACUGGAAUAACUCCGGGAAACCGGGGCUAAUGCCGGAUAACAUUUAGAACCGCAUGGUUCUAAAGUGAAAGAUGGUUUUGCUAUCACUUAUAGAUGGACCCGCGCCGUAUUAGCUAGCUGGUAAGGUAACGGCUUACCAAGGCAACGAUACGUAGCCGACCUGAGAGGGUGAUCGGCCACACUGGAACUGAGACACGGUCCAGACUCCUACGGGAGGCAGCAGUAGGGAAUCUUCCGCAAUGGGCGAAAGCCUGACGGAGCAACGCCGCGUGAGUGAUGAAGGUCUUCGGAUCGUAAAACUCUGUUAUUAGGGAAGAACAAAUGUGUAAGUAACUGUGCACGUCUUGACGGUACCUAAUCAGAAAGCCACGGCUAACUACGUG
rnacentral:rRNA from 1 species